rnacentral:lncRNA from 1 species
UCGAUCGAUGGUGAAGUGGUAGUGUCAAUCGAUGCCGGUUUGUUGGUGUCGAUCGAUGGUAUCCGGUCGCUGUUGAUCGAUACUGGUUCUGCUGGGCCCUUAUCGACUUCAUCUUAGAAAUCACAACCCUUUCUGAGAAGCUUCUACGUGCUGAGGAUCAUCCAAUACCUCAAUGUAAGAACUGAACUGCAUACUUCUAUCUGGUGGGAUAGGAGAUUCAGCUUCAAAUACAGCGCAUGGAACUAUAAUCUUCACAGGAUCAUGUAUCCUCUUCACUCUUUUGUGAAACCCAUCUGCUUCUUCUGUCCAGAUAGGUGAUCUCUGAUGUUUAGGGACAGCAAGGUGUGAGGCUUUAGACAUGUACAUCCUCUCCUCAAUCGGUUCCAUCUCAAUUAUGCAACCUGGCGGAACGUCUAGCAAUGGGAAUCGAUCGAUAUUAGGUGGUUGGUGUCGAUCGAUAAGUGGUUAGCGGUGUAGAUUGAUGUCGGGUGGGUGUAGAUCGAUGAUGUGGGGUGGUUGUCGAUCGAUCUCAUCAGGUUGGUGUCGACCGAUGCUAGCCUCUAGUGAAGUUUCCAGAUCCUUUUCUGAAGUGUGCUGAUGGUCAUCAAGCUUCUUC